GUCCCCGCUCGCCAUGAGUCCCGCGCGGCGGAGCGCCCCAGUUGUGCUGCGCCUACUGGGCGGGCUGGCCCCGCCGCUGCUGCUGCUGCUCCUGCGUCCUCCGGCUGCGUCGGGGUCCAGUCGUGUACAGACGUGGCGCUACAAGUUUGCGCGUCAUCUCCUCCAGGUGUAACGUUCCAAGGGGGCGUCUGUCUUUAUUGUGUGCCUAGCAACAGUAUGUAUGUGAAAGUCUAAAGCACUAUAUAUAUAUAUUAUAUGUACAUAUGUGUAUAUAUAUAUAUGUGUGUGUAUAUAUAUAUAUGUAUAUAUUAGAUAACGAAGGGCAGGAAUUUAUUUUCGACUAUUUUAGUUUUGAAUUAACUGACUCAGGAAGCCUAGCAAGUUCUCGGUUUGUCAGCUGAGCAUUGGAUGGGAAUGUUAUGUGGGCAUAGAAAGCCAUUGCUGCUUCCCUUAUUCGUCUUGGGAAAGGAAUGCUGCAAUGAAUUGAAAAGUUGUAUUUCCUUCAGUUCUGUUUUUUCCUCCCUAGGUGACUGCAGCCUUCCCCCAGAUGUACCUAAUGCCCAACCAGCUUUGGGAGCUCUUACAAGUUUUCCCAAACAAAGCACAGUAACAUACAAAUGCAACGAAGGCUUUGUAAAAGUUCCUGGCAAGGCAGACUCAGUGGUCUGUCUGAAUAAUAAAUGGUCAGAGGUUGCAGAAUUUUGUAAUCGUAGCUGUGAUGUUCCAACCAGGCUACUUUUUGCAUCUCUCAAAAAGUCUUAUACCAAACAGAAUUAUUUCCCAGAAGGUUCCACUGUAGAAUAUGAUUGCCGUUUGGGCUACAUAAGGGACCAUUCUCUCUCAGGAAAACUAACUUGCCUUCAGAAUUUUAUGUGGUCCAAACCUGAUGAAUUUUGUAAAAAAAAAUCAUGUGCUAACCCUAGAGAAAUAAAAAAUGGUUAUGUCAGUAUAACACAUGACCUAUUAUUUGGAUCGCCCAUCCAUUUUUCAUGUAAUACAGGGUACAAAUUAGUUGGUGCAACUUCUAGUUACUGUUCUCUUGCGGGAAAUACUGUUGAGUGGAGUGAUCCGUUUCCAGAAUGCCAAGAAAUUUUAUGUCCAGAACCACCAGAAAUUGACCAUGGAAUGAUUGAAAAGAAACAAAACAGUUACGCAUAUAGACAAUCUGUAACAUAUAAAUGUAUGAAAGGCUUCGCCCUGCAUGGAGAGAGCUCUAUCAAUUGUACUGUAAGAGAUGACCAAGGAGAGUGGAGUGGCCCCCCACCUGAAUGCAAAGAAACCUUUCAAAUUUACAAAGUCACACCAGCAGUUCAGAAACCCACCAGAGUACAUGUUCCAGCUACCAAAGCCCCAUCAUUUCCUCAGAAAUCCACCACAGUGAAUGCUCCAGCUACAAAGGUUCCACCAACUCUUCAGAAAUCCACCACUGUAAAGGUUUCAGCUACAGAAGCCCCACCAACUCCUCAGAAACCCACGACUGUAAAAGUAUCAGCUACAGAAACCCCACCAACUCCUCAGAAACCCACCACUGUAAAAGUUUCAGCUACAGAAGCCUCACCACCUCCUCAGAAACUCAUCAAAAUAAAUUCUUCAGCUACAAAGUCCCCACUAGUUUCUCAGAAACCCACCACUGUAAAUGUUCCAGCUACAGAAGUCUCAUCAGCUCCUCAGAAACCUUCCACAGCAAAUGAUUCAGCCACAACAGCCCAAAAUUCCCCCAUAUCAAACACUGUCUCUACAGCAGCUCAGAAUCCCAUCAUGGCAAAUGCUUCUGCAUCACAGGCCACACCAACAACCCAAAGAUUCACCGCGGCAAAAUCUUCACUUACACAGAAUCUUAGAGCAACACAAAAGUCCACUGCUGUACAUACCCCAGUGAUCAAGAGUCUCCAUGCAACACAAAGAUUGACCUCUGCUCAUGUUACAGCAACAAGGAGUCCAGCUGUUCACAGGGCAACCGCACGUUUUCAUGCAACAAGCACACCUAAAGGAGGAGGAAGCUCUACUUCAGUUGCUAGCAUUAUUGCAUCGGGAUGUGUUGCUGGUACUCUAAUAAUUGGUACCAUAAUUCUAGUCAAAAUUUUCUGGGGCAGUGGAAAAUCAGGCUCUUACUACACACAUGAGAACAGCAAAGCACUUAAUGUUGUUUCAUAAUUUGUGACUGGUGAUGCUACGAAAGUAAGACCUUCUAUUAAUUUACAACAGGACAUAUAUGUAUGACAUUGACAGUUUUGCUUAUGAUGCUAGUAACUACUGGCUAACUGAGCCAAAGAAGAGUUGAGAAGAAAGUGCACAUGAGUACACAGAAUAUUUCUAAUUUUGUAGAACUUUCUGGUGGAGUGAACACAGUAUAUGUGGUAGUGUCCUUCGUUUUGCCUGUUAUCUUGUCUUUAAGAUGCAUAAGAAUGUCCACGAAGCAAGGAAAAACGAAUCUGUCCUGGAAUCACAUUCUCAGCACUCUUAAGACUCUUGAAAAUAGAAGAACUCACAAGAUUGAGAGUGAUGACUUUCAUAAAAGUGUGGGAAAGUGGAGAGAUGUGUUGAUACUUAGAAUGUGAACAGGAAGAAAAGGAAAAAAAGUGAAAUUUUUUUCAACAAAUAUGUAAUGUUAUUUUUACUUACAAAGGACACAACAAAUUAAAAACAUUAAUUGGAUAUUGAAACCAAAUAAACCACUCUCUUCUAAGAAAAAUUGCCAAAGACUGAUGAAACAUUGUAAAAUAAUCCUUCCUGACUAAAAGGCAUUUUCAUCUUUUCUUAUUCCAUUAAAAUGAGUAUGAAUCAGUUGGCAAAAUUUUUUAAAGGAAAAACAUGCCAAUGACCCAAGAGUGUUGAGUUUCUUGGGUUAUUUGGUGACAAAGGAGGAAUACAGAAUGAAGGAAUAAUUCUUCCUUUGUCAUACAAGUACAGAUAGUGAAUUAGCUCCUUAUUUGUCAGAUAGAUCAGCUAUAAUUUUGUUCUUAAGAUAAUGUAAAAAAAAAAAAAAAACCAGCCCUGGGGAAGGGUGCAAGGUGUCUUUAUUGACGUAAUGCCUUUAAAGGUCUCCAGAGAUAUUAUAAUAUUAAUAUAAGAAAAGAUUCUGUAUUUCUAAAGUGAGAUGUUCGUAUUCAAAUUGUAAAUCUUAUUCUUUUGUAAUAUUAAGCUUAAUUUAUAUUUAUUUAUAUUUUACAUGUAUACCAAAAAAGUUCAAGAAGAUACGUAAAGAAAAAUUUGUUUUCCCUAAAUAGAAAUAAUUGAUCACACUUUUGUCUCAGGUGGUAUUUGACAUUUAUUUUCUUAAAUGUAAAUAAUUUAGUUAUAAAUAAGAGAGUCCCUUCCUGCCUUUCAUAAGUAGUUUAGAAUGCCGCUCUUUGGUUAUCCUAGGGUGAAUCAUUUUCAGUUACUUUUAUGUAUCACUUGUUAUUGAUUUACCUAACUGGCAAUCACAUCAAUUUCCAGAUUCUUAAUAUGUUCUUGUCAUCUUGUCAAUUACAUGUUAAGUGUUGGAAUAGACUAGAAUAUAUACAUAACUAAAUUUAACAAUAUUUAUUUUGUCAUAUUGCUUCAUCUUCUUUGUUGUUAAAGUAUUUUAAAAUAAAUUCCAUUAGCAUCAUGGCA